CACCAAACUCACUCCCACUUCAUCCCAGUUCAAACCAGUAACACAAACCCCAAACCAGUAACUCCCAGUAACCCCAACCCCAUCCCAGUGACCCCAAACUCACUCCCAGUCCAUCCCAGUUCAUCCCAGUCCAUCACAGUCCCUCCCAGUUCAUCCCAGUUUGAUCCCAGUCCAUCCCAGUUCAUCCCAGUAACCCCAAACUCACUCCCAGUCCAUCCCAGUCCAUCCCAGUUUGAUCCCAGUCCAUCCCAGUUAGCUCCCAGUACAGCCCAGUAACCCCAGAAACCCCAAACCAGUGACCAAACCCCUCGGCCUACGAGCUGUAUGCGAGGGGGUACGAGGAUUGUCUGCAGAGCCCAUUGCAGGUGAGACCAGUAUGGACCAGUUUGAACUGGGAGCAUCCCAGUAACCUCCCAGUACAGCCCCGUAACCAGAAACCCCAAACCAGUAACAAAAAAACCCCAAACUCACUCCCAGUCCAUCCCAGUAACACCAAACUCACUCCCAGUCCAUCCCAGUUCAUCCCAGUUCAAACCAGUAACCCCCCAGUACAGCCCUGACCCCAAACCAGUAACUCCCAGUAACCCCAAACCCAUCCCAGUCCAUUCCAGUAACCAAAAACCCCAAACCAGUAACUCCCAGUAAGGAAAAACCCCAUCCCAGUGACCCCAAACUCACUCCCAGUCCAUCCCAGUUCAUCCCAGUCCAUCCCAGUCCAUCCAAGUCCAUCCCAGUAAUCCCCCAGUACAGCCCAGUAACCAAAAACUCCAAACCAGUCCAUCCCAGUCCAUCCCAGUUCAUCCCUGUAACUCCCAGUAAGCCCUGACCCCAAACCAGUAAAUGCCAGUAAGGAAAAACCCCAAACCAGUAACAUAAACCCCAAACCAGUCACUCCCAGUAACUCCAAACUCACUCCCAGUCCAUCCCAGUCCAUCCCAAUUAGCUCCCAGUACAGCCCGGCAACCAAAAACCCCAUCCCAGUAACUCCCAGUAAGCCCUGACCCCAAACCAGUAACCAAACCCCUCGGCCUACGAGCUGUAUGCACGGGGGUACGAGGAUUGUCUGCAGAGCCCAUUGCAGGUGAGACCAGUUCAGACCAGUAUAGACCAGUAACACACUGGGAGCAUCCCAGUUAGCUCCCAGUAUAGCCUGGUAACCAAAAACCCCAAACCAGUAACUCCCAGUAAGGAAAAACCCCAAACCAGUAACAAAAAACCCAAAACCAGUAACACAAACCUCAAACCACUAGCUCCCAGUCCAUGCCAGUUUGAUCCC
rnacentral:lncRNA from 1 species